rnacentral:rRNA from 1 species
UACGUAGGGGGCAAGCGUUUGUCCGGAUUUAUUGGGCGUAAAGAGCGUGUAGGCGGCUUUACAGGUCCGUUGUGAAAACUCGAGGCUCAACCUCGAGACGCCGGUGGAAACCGUAAGGCUAGAGUCCGGAAGAGGUGAGUGGAACUCCGAGUGUAGAGGUGAAAUUCGUAGAUAUUCGGAAGAACACCAGUGGCGAAGGCGGCUCACUGGUCCGGUACUGACGCUGAGGUGCGAAAGCGUGGGGAGCAAACAGG